rnacentral:snRNA from 2 species
UCAUUAACAUAACUGACCAUACUAAAAGUCUCAAUGAUACAGAGAAAAUUAGUAUGGCUCCUGCGCAAGGAUGACACACACAAAUCGAGACAUAGUCCAAAUUUGA